rnacentral:lncRNA from 1 species
GUUUUUUAUUUAUCUGCGUAUCAUCCACGCAGGCAGAUAUGGCAUUUCCCUCAGUCCUGGUUUACAACUGGAGAAAUACGGCCUGUCCGAAGCCUUCCCGUUUCACCUCCGUGAUCAUUCUGUAGCUGACCGUUCAGCUACCAGAGUUUUAUGAUUUUUUAGACCAUACCUGUUUCCUCAGCAUCCUGUUUUCUGUGACUGAAAACCCCUGUGUCUGCCCACUCACCUGUUACAGCUUUAAAAACAUUUAGAAAGAAUACAGGGAAAAACACAAACUUGGCAGAGGCUCAAGAAUAUAGCUUAAGAAGCAACAUAUUUGGACACUAAAUACUAGGAAAUCAAUGUAAGAGUAAUCAAGUAUCACAAAGGCAAGUAUCUAGUGGAAGAAAAAAUAGUAAAACAUGUUAUAUAGAAAAAACAGGCACCGUUGGCUACAGCAAGAGGAAAAGCCCCACAAAAUUUAUUAAGUACAUAAAGCAUACAUGUUUCAAAAAUGUUAAAUCUCAGUUAAUAAUAAUCAUUCACUGAAUGUCAAAUUUAAGUUCAUUAUUAAUUAUAUUCCCAUUCUGAUUCCUCCUGAAAAAUGCCAAAAUGAGAAAUCUGCCCAGGAAAGAGAACAGAAAAGGCAGAAAGGUGACAUUAGAAGUGAAGAGGAGGAAGAAGAACAAGAGCAGAAAUGGAAAAGGAAAGAGAAGUAGGAACAAAUGGAAAAAGUGAAGGUAGAUCUGGAAAAGGAACAACAGAGGAGAUGGAAGAGAUGUGGCCAUGCACAUGCAUCCAAACCUAUCAAUGUUCCAGCAUGAAGAAACAUAGAUAACAACAAAACAUCUUCUAAUAUAACAGAAGACUAACAACACAGCGUGUGAAGGAGCCAGCAAACUGAUCCAGCACUGCCAGGCAAAUUCUAAACUAAAGUAUAACAUCACAGAUCUUUUAAUCUGAAAUAGGUGCAUAGCAGCAUACUAGAUUUUUCCUAAGUUUAGUAUUGUGUGUAUGUCUACUAACUUAACUUCAUUUUUUCUAAUACUUUCAUCUAAAUUCUGAUUUUUCCAAGUGUCUCUCAAUAUGAAAAAAAUCAGUAUCAACAGUGAUUCAAAGUCAUUAAACAAAUUCAGGUUUUCAACCAAUUGUACCUAGCUUACAGUGAGUUCACGAAGAUGAUAUUCCCCACUUUUCAUAAAGCACUAAAUCCCUUACUGAGCAUCUCCCCUGACAAAAACCUCAGCAUGG